UGAGGAACAUGACCUUCGGCGGGGGAGUAGCCGGCCCAACGGCCGGGUAAUACCGCGUACGACCACAUGGGGACAUCCCUGAGUGGUGAAAGCAGCAAUGCGCCGAUGGAGUGCCUCGCGGCCUAUCAGCUAGUUGGUGAGGUAACGGCUCACCAAGGCGACGACGGGUAGCUGGUCUGAGAGGAUGGCCAGCCACAUUGGGACUGAGACACGGCCCAGACCUGUACCGGGGAG
rnacentral:rRNA from 1 species